rnacentral:rRNA from 16 species
AUAACUAUUAAAUCCUCCGAUGGCGGCUCUUCAUCUUAUCGCGAAGCAGCAUUCGCCGCUGCCAAGUGUUGGAUCAAUUGUUCACCCAAUCCCAUCAAUAGGGAACGUGAGC